CCAAGCAGCUGCAGCCCUAAAGUGGCCAUUUUGUUACUGGCAGUUGCUUGACUGCACCUUUGUUUCUUUCAGAUGAAUCACUGCUGGAUCCAGACUGACUCUGAGGGCAACGCCAGGUCUUGAGGAGUCAUUUACAUUACCUGGAUCUACCGGUGUACUCAAGCUAAGAAAUGAAAGGUUCCACGCACACAGUUUUGGGGAAAAUUGACUGAAUUAUUACAUCCAUAAUAUAGAUGGACUUCCAACAGCUGUAUAAAGUUUUGGUGUGUCCAGAUGAGUCAACUUCUGGCUCCAUGACACGGGACAGUGGUACGAAUCACCUGAAGAGUUGUUUUCUUCUAACACUGAACAAGGAACUUAAUUAGAGAUGGAAAUAAAUAUCAGAAUUUCCCAGAGGAUGAAAAUUUCAUUUUUGAUCAGCUCUACCUAAGUGGUCUGAGCACAGACCUGGGACCUAGGAACUUCUGAAUUCUAUUCCUGGCUCUAACAUUGACAUAGUGGCAUUGGACAAGAUAGCUCUAUGCCUCGCUCUCUGGCUCCCUGUUGUUGUAGUUGCUUUGAAGACAAAUUAAUAUGUUUAUAAAGCAAUCUAUAAGGGCUAAGUGCUAUAUAGAUACUAAUGUGGAAUGAAACAGAUCACUUGGGGCCAAAUUCAACGACGAUAUAUUUGACUUCGGUAACCUAGAUGCCCCAACAAAAGCUUAUAUUGUAUUACUUCAUUGCUGCAGUAGUUGCCUGUAUUCUUUCCCCCCUGAGGCAAACCUUGAGGUAUCAGAACCAAAGUGACAAUAUACCAUCAACACAUGAAACGACUUUGAAUUGUUUCUUUGUCUGAUUUUUGCUAAUAUUUAAUUAGAAGGGGAUGGAUCUGAACCGAGCCUCUAGAUUCUAACUUUUAAUUCCCUUCUUUCAAAACCCAACCCCAGAUCUGGAUCUAAAUUUUACAGCUUGAGCCCACCUCUAGUAACUAGUGCUAAGAGGAUGAUGAAAUGAAUGGAAACCUGUUUGGAUCCCCAUCUCACUUUCACGCCACCCCCCAUA